rnacentral:tRNA from 1 species
CAGGGAUACAAUACGCGAUAUUGAUGCUUGAACCAAUACGGAUUUUAAGCCAGUGUCCUGUCAUCUCUAGGUCGAUCGGUACCUCAGGUUAAGAGCUACUAGCAACCAGGUUCGCUUGGUUAGUUGAGUAGUGAUUAAUGUUCAGUUCCUAAACUUUGUCUAGGUCACCCCAAAUCUCCUGGGCCAUUAGCUCAGGUGGUUAGAGCGCACCCCUGAUAAGGGUGAGGUCCCUGGUUCAAGUCCAGGAUGGCCCAUUCACAGCUUGCUAAGCAAGCAGGACUUACUGGCUGGGGGUUUAGCUCAGUUGGUAGGGCGCCUGCUUUGCAAGCAGGAUGUCAGCGGUUCGAGUCCGCUAACCUCCAUAUCAACGCUAACCCAAAGAGCGAGUUGUGCAGGAGAGCAGGGAUUGCACCGUAAAGAAUUUUCUUUACGUGUAUGUAUCCAAGCGUGGUGAUCAAGACGGGUAAGGAGAAGAGCUGAACAAGACUCCAGCCUUCAGGUGCCAAUGGUGGACCAAGCCAUGCUGAAUGCAAGCAUGGCAGGGACCAUCGAUCGGGCAAUUGAAAGCUGGACUCACCCCCCACCAGGGGGUAUGGGUUUCAGCAGGGUUGACCACGUCAGUGGUGAGCCUAAGAACCUUGACAACUGUAUAGGAAAGUCUGGAAAGAAAGCAUCUCAUGGAUGUCCAGCGAAAGCUGGAGAUUCUAUUUGAGUUUAGAGCCGAGACUUUCCAGUGUUCUUCCAAUGUUGUGGCUCAUCCAGCCAUGGCAGCGGGAGUUUGAUUGUGGCAUUCAAACCACGAGCGAAUAAUAUCUCAUUACCGUAAAAAGUAGUGAUGAUUUAUUUUAGCGAGCAGGUGAAUCCAGAAGAAGCGGCCUCAACAGCCGUAAGACACUGGGAAGAUAAAUU